UACGAACUGUGCAAACGUUAUUCGGAAUCACUGGGCUUAAAGGGUGCGUAGGCGGCUGUCUAAGUAGGGUGUGAAAGCCCCCGGCUCAACCGGGGAAUUGCGCCCUAAACUGGAUGGCUGGAGUGGGGCAGGGGUGUGUGGAACUUCCGGUGGAGCGGUGAAAUGUGUUGAUAUCGGAAGGAACGCCGGUGGCGAAAGCGACACACUGGGUCUCAACUGACGCUGAGGCACGAAAGCCAGGGGAGCAAACGGG
rnacentral:rRNA from 1 species